UCGUGCCAUCGCUGGCGCCGAAAGGCGCCUGAGGAAAGUCCGGGCAGCAAAGGGCGGCGCCCUGUGGAAAGCACAGAUGGGUGCAAGCUCAUGGGGGUUGCAACAGAAAACAACCGCCCGCCGCAAGGCAGGUAAGGGUGAAAAAGGGAGGUAAGAGCUCCCGGCGGGCCAUGGCGACAUGGUCCGGGUGCAAUCCGGCGCGCUGCAAGGCCAUGUAUACCGGCAUUCAAGGACUGCCCGUCCGCUGCCGGGGGGUAGGCUGCGACAGAUAAAUGAUGGCAAGCCCGCUCCCCUGUCAAGGGAAGCGGGCCACAGAACCCGGCUUACAGAUUCUC
rnacentral:RNase_P_RNA from 1 species